GGCGAACGCUGGCGGCGUGCCUAAUACAUGCAAGUAGAACGCUGAAGGAGGAGCUUGCUUCUCUGGAUGAGUUGCGAACGGGUGAGUAACGCGUAGGUAACCUGCCUGGUAGCGGGGGAUAACUAUUGGAAACGAUAGCUAAUACCGCAUAAUAGUAGAUGUUGCAUGACAUUUGCUUAAAAGGUGCAAUUGCAUCACUACCAGAUGGACCUGCGUUGUAUUAGCUAGUUGGUGAGGUAACGGCUCACCAAGGCAACGAUACAUAGCCGACCUGAGAGGGUGAUCGGCCACACUGGGACUGAGACACGGCCCAGACUCCUACGGGAGGCAGCAGUAGGGAAUCUUCGGCAAUGGACGGAAGUCUGACCGAGCAACGCCGCGUGAGUGAGGAAGGUUUUCGGAUCGUAAAGCUCUGUUGUAAGAGAAGAACGAGUGUGAGAGUGGAAAGUUCACACUGUGACGGUAUCUUACCAGAAAGGGACGGCUAACUACGUGCCAGCAGCCGCGGUAAUACGUAGGUCCCGAGCGUUGUCCGGAUUUAUUGGGCGUAAAGCGAGCGCAGACGGUUAGAUAAGUCUGAAGUUAAAGGCUGUGGCUUAACCAUAGUACGCUUUGGAAACUGUUUAACUUGAGUGCAAGAGGGGAGAGUGGAAUUCCAUGUGUAGCGGUGAAAUGCGUAGAUAUAUGGAGGAACACCGGUGGCGAAAGCGGCUCUCUGGCUUGUAACUGACGCUGAGGCUCGAAAGCGUGGGGAGCAAACAGG
rnacentral:rRNA from 1 species